ACGGGUGAGUAAUACAUCGGAACGUAUCCUGGAGUGGGGGAUAGCCCGGCGAAAGCCGGAUUAAUACCGCAUACGCUCUGAGGAGGAAAGCGGGGGACCUUCGGGCCUCGCGCUCAAGGGGCGGCCGAUGGCGGAUUAGGUAGUUGGUGGGGUAAAGGCCUACCAAGCCGACGAUCCGUAGCUGGUCUGAGAGGACGACCAGCCACACUGGGACUGAGACACGGCCCAGACUCCUACGGGAGGCAGCAGUGGGGAAUUUUGGACAAUGGGGGCAACCCUGAUCCAGCAAUGCCGCGUGUGUGAAGAAGGCCUUCGGGUUGUAAAGCACUUUUGUCCGGAAAGAAAUCAUCGGGGCCAAUACCCCUGGUGGAUGACGGUACCGGAAGAAUAAGCACCGGCUAACUACGUGCCAGCAGCCGCGGUAAUACGUAGGGUGCGAGCGUUAAUCGGAAUUACUGGGCGUAAAGCGUGCGCAGGCGGUGCUGUAAGACCGAUGUGAAAUCCCCGGGCUUAACCUUGGGAACUGCAUUGGUGACUGCAGCGCUGGAGUAUGGCAGAGGGGGGUGGAAUUCCACGU
rnacentral:rRNA from 1 species